UUCACCGUACCCCUUUUGCUAGUUGUUCGGUGGACCGUCGCGGAGGCGCCCGCCGGCGACGAACUGCAAGGCUGCGAGGAAUGCCGGCGCCCUAAGAAGGUACGCGCUUAUUCGCUUUCCUUGUCUUUCUCUGCCGCGCCGAUCUCGGUCAUCGCCGGACGCCCGCUACUCCAUAGAGCCACCGAGAUUUACUUCUGGGAAGCGGCGGGGUGCAGAAGCACCACAACGGCCGUCAGGGAUUCGCCACCCUUCUGUGCUGCGCUGAGGUUUGUCCAAAACCAUGGGUACCUGGCUAGCUGAGUUACCUUGGUGCCUCGUACCACAUUAAUUGAGAAUAGGGUCACUGAUUUCUCUCGUCAACAAUUAGAUUCUGGUUACAGGCGCUAUUUCAGGAUUCAGGCUACUGUUGGACCAUUUGAUUUCAUAUUUACCCAUCUAUGCUUAUCUAUUGUUAAUAUGUUGUUUCCAUGUAAAUUGGCAUUCAUUUCCAUGCCCAAUAUCCACCACCGAAAACCUGGAUUUGAAUUAUGUCUUCAGUUCCAAAUACCGUGAAGACUGCGUUUCUGAUGCCUAAUAGCAUAAUUGGGGGCCAGGUUUUAGGAGGUUUGAAACUUCUCUUUUGCAUACCUACAAUCAUCUCUGGGUAGGUUUAAUAUCUGAUACAUCAUGGACUAGUGCUAUAUGUUCAAUUUGGCUUCCACCUUCUGUGCCCCAUUAAACUUGGACAUUGGUGGGUCAUUAGCGUAUCUGAGCUCUGGUUAAUGUAGUUGCCAAAGCAUAUGAUCUCUUUUUUUCGAUAUUAUGUUGUUAUCCUAUAUUUUUUCAGUUUCUACUAAAUUCUUGAUGCUUCUUGAUUGCAUAGAGCUGACAACUGUUUUCUUAUAAGUUAUGUUUAAAAUAGAUGGAAACCAGGGAGACGUGCAAGACACAUUGUAGAUUUCUGUCUCAGCUUUUAUUAGUUUAGAUGAUUUUGUUAGGCUAGUACAAGCAUUGCAAAUGUCAGUCACUCAAUGCUUCCGUUCUUGCUGUUGUUUUGCUCAACAGGCAAUGGGCUAGUUUUUUUUUUUUUUUGGUGGUUGAGGGCAGCAGUUGGCUAGAGUUGGGGACCUCUGAUGCACUAGAUCUAAUUCCCAUAUACGUCAUAUCUUUAUUGGUGGUUAUUUCGUUCAUUGUUUGUAGGAUGUAUUGCUGCAGAGUUGGUUAUUGGAGUCGCGAUGAAGCUCCACAGUGUGCAUUUGUUAUUUUGUGUUGCGAAACAUGCUUAGCUGGUGGGGCUGGACUGAAAUGUGGAGCAAUGGGAGACACCAAUCUAAUCUUCAAUGGCAAUCAUUUAAGUUGAUUAUUCAUGAAGAUGAGACUACUAAAUUGGCAGAAUUCUGUUCAAGCAUCGUGAGGACAAAUCACUCCAUUGGUGCAUUGUGUCAAACAGGCUUGCAUAUCAAGUCUUCGCCCGUGUGAAUUUCCAUUGAGGAUAUGUGCCAAAUACUCCAAAGCAACUUUGUAGGUGGUGAGGCAGAAGCUUGCAACCUAGAAUGACUGACAGUGUCUUAAAAUGGUGCACCAAUACUUCUUGAGAUUGUCUCUUAGUAGUCCGCUCACAAUUGUUGCCAAAGGGCUGCAUUCUCUUAAUAAAGUCUCAAUGAUACCUUUCCCAAUAACUAGUAACUUUCAGUAUUCUUCAGGAUGUUCACCACCUAAUGCAUUUCCAUGAACAGGCAGCCAAGGUCUUCCAUUGGCAAGAAUUCUACAGGAAGAAUAUUACUCCUAUCCAUCCUGCAUGCCAAGUGUUCGUAUAUAGUGGUAAUGAUAACCUUGCUUCCUGCCUUGCUAAUCCCCAAUUGUACUAUGAGUAUGUCAUCCACUGCACGGGGUUAGCAACAAACACCAUCAAGAACCGGUAGAAAUCUCUCUGUUCUUAGCCUUGGCCCUUGGGUCUAUCUUGUAUGCAACCAGUGAAUUCCAGUUUCUUGCACAAGGACCUCAUUAUGACUCAUUCUGGACCAGGGUUUUCUCUGCAACACACCCAUAUUACCAUUGAGAAGUGGCUCUUCACUAUUUCAUUUUUCCAGACAAGAUGUGUCAUCAGGGUGGUUUUACCUACUACUUUUCUUCCCCAUAUGAGGGUACAUAACCUUAUGGAAUUGAUGAUACAGUUGUUGAUCUCUGACCAAAUCUUUUUAUGUAAGUACUAUGGAUCUGGUAUACAGUUGGUUUCAACAAGAAGUCAAUGGCGCACUGCCUCUCCUUGAUUCGAACGAUGACCAUGUCAUGCAUGGACACAAUCACACAGAUAGGAUGAUCGGUCGAUGCACCACAGCCUGGUUGCCCAGCAACUAUUUCAACCUUCUUAACAUUGUCAUCUAUGCUAAUGGUUGUUUCCUUGCAUGACAGGUACAUUGCAGUAGCAACUUUGAUACCCUUGAAAGUGUUGCUGGAAUUGACUAGGGCAGAACUCACCUCAUCAGUGCGAUAUCUCCAGUCCCGCGGCACCCAGCCUCCUUCACAUGCUGCAUCCUCAAGCUUGCAGAUCCAGAGGAGCAGCCACGCAUUGGUGAUGGCUCACCCCCUGACCUUUUUUGUUUUACCCAGCCUGAAAUUCGCUCCCACGAGGAUUCGAACCCAGGUCAUUGCAACCGCUUGGCUGCUACACACUCCUUUGCAACAUGCAUGUUUAUGAUGCAGUUAAAACAUGCAUAUUUAAUAAAUCUGAACACAUACAAAACUACAAUCACUAAAAUCCCUAUAACUUUUAUAAUAUAAGAUUCAAAUCACAUAACAGAUAAAUCUGCAAAAAUUAUAAUCACUCAAAUCCCUUUAACUUCUAUACAAUAAGCAGCUGCUGCCAAGGUCGAUCGAGGCCAUCGGCAUGUCUGCUCCGGCUAAUGCAACGGGGAGUCCGGCGGUGUCCAGUGUUAGCUGCAGCCACAAAGAUGGAGGUGCAGCCUGCUGGAGGUGUGCAUCAAUCUGGAAUAUUUGUUCAGCUGACUGUGCUUGUUCAUGUGCUAUGGUUAUUGUCCUCUUCUCUCUUUUACUCGAAUAUUUUGAAUAUUGUGCUCUGCUUGCUGCAGGUUCCAGGAAAUGUCUUCCUAUGAAUAUUGAAAUGUGUCAUGUCUGUUAUCUCCCUCACUGUCUAUAAUAGUGCAGAUUUGCUUUCGAACCUUGUAAA